rnacentral:misc_RNA from 1 species
UGCAUUUCGAAAUGCAGUUUUACAAAUUCUAUCAAUAGUACAGAUUUAUCAAACUUUUCCAUAGAUAAAGAUCAAACUUGUCAUAUCUGACCGCUCGCUGAGGAAGUGUGAACCGGAUAUUGCUAAUCAAUGAUAAGGUUUUCCGGGAUUUAACAAAAACUAGAUGAAACAGUACUGAUGUCGGGGUCAAGAAAGAAGUGUCAUUCUUAGAGUAACUAAGGAACCACCGUGCACCUGCGAUAUGUCAGGGCGAAGAAAAAGUGUGUCUGGAGCGGGAGCUCCAAAGAAGCUAGGCCCAAGACAAUCAUCGUUUCUAUCGUUGAAGGCAGAACCAACUUUUCUCAGUACUGUUGAUACGAAGAACUCACAAAGGAAGAAAUCUGCUAGAAGGUUUUCGAUCGCAGUUUCGUCGCUGCAGACUGCAAGGCGGGAUUCGACCGUCCAGAAGAAAGAAAAGCUGAUGUAUGAUAUGCAGACAACAAAAAAAUUUGAAAGCAUGUUACGUGGAGAUCUUACAGAUUUACCUCCCUUGCCAAGGACUAUGGUCAAGAUUUUUCUCAGCUCUACUUUCUCUGACAUGAGAGCAGAGAGAAAUAUUCUAGCAAGAGAAGUUUACCCUCAACUUCAGAACUUUUGUGCUUUACGUGACCUUGACUUUCAGGCAGUAGAUAUGAGAUGGGGCGUCACGAAUGACAGUACCAAUGAUCACGCCGUGGAAAAACUUUGUCUUCUUGAAAUUGAAAACUGUCAAAAUACGUCAGUUGGCCCAAACUUUGUUGUACUUUCGGGUGACAGGUACGGAUAUCGCCCAAUUCCAGUAAAUAUUGACGUUGAAACGUUUGAAAUAAUUAAAUAUGAAGCCAAAAAACUUAACCUCCAAAACAGAGAGUUGUUAGACGAGUGGUAUAAACUGGACAAAAACUCAAUCCCUGCUACCUAUAUCUUGCAGCCAAUCCGGUUUAAAUUUAAAUUCUUUGGAGACUUCUCGCCGGGCUCUGAUAAACUGAGAGAAAGAGACACUACUGAGUGGUCGAAAACCUUUGAAAAAUUACAGAUUUUAUUGAGGAAAGCAGUAGAUGAAGCAUUCAAGGAUAAAAAGGUUACAGCUGAAAGAAAACAGGAGUUCUUCCAGUCAGUGACAGAAAGUGAAAUUCAAGAUGGUAUAUUAAAGGCAACAGAUGUAAAUUCGCACUUGUCUGGUGUAUAAAAGAAGGUUAAGGCAUUUGCAUGGAGCUGGACUUAAUGAUAACGACACGCCCAGAUACAUAGAUGUCAUCAAAUCGGAGAAGGGAAAUGUGCUCGACGAAGAAACUGAAAAUCUUAAAGUGACACUUUUUGACGAUAAAAUUAAGAAAAAACUGGAUCCAGUAAAUAUCAAAGAAUACAGCAUUCAAUGGAUGCCAGGGGGAGUAAAUCUUGACGGAAAUGACGAACACCGGGAAUACCUAGCCUCAUUUUGCAAAGAUUUCAUUGCGGACUGUAAAAGGCUUAUACAAACAGCAGAAGAAGAAAAUAAAAGAAAGUCAAUUAAGCAGUCAAACUAUUACACUGAUUAUAACAGCACGAUCCAUCAUCUGAGAUUUUGUUUAUCAAAAUGUGAAUCAUUUUGCGGACAGGAGCAGGUAUUAAAAGCAGCGAAGUCCUAUAUUUUGGACAAGACUGGACGAACACCUUUGGUUCUUUAUGCCCCGUCUGGAGCUGGUAAAACGUCUACCAUGGCUAUGAUCAUGAAGUGCAUUCCAGAAUGGCUUAACAAUGCUUCACACCUAAGACUGAUCAGAUUCCUUGGAACUUCGCCCCAGUGCAACAAUGUUUACGAUUUGUUAGUUGAUAUUCUUGGCCAAUUAUCGGAUGUGUAUGGCAUGAUCUUGCCUCCACACAGCUGCAAAACUAUGAAGAGAAUUGUACAGUUUGCACCAAUAUACAUUAGACAGGUUGCAAACAACUCAAAGGAGCCAAUUAUUAUAUUACUCGAUUCCUUAGAUCAACUAGAUUCAAGAAACAACGCUUACUCUAUGGACUGGCUGCCGAUUGUCCUUCCACAAAACGUAAAACUCAUCGUCUCUACACUUCCAAAUGCUCAUGGUGUGCUUGCAAACUUGAAAAAAGCGCCUACCUAACCAGGAAUGUUAUAUUGAGGUACCCGAACUGACGGAACAAACUAGAAAACAGAUCAUUCAAACUUACUUACAAGUGCAUAGCCGUUCACUCACGGACAGUCAGAUGAAGUUCUUUUGUUCCAUAUUUAAGCAAACUCCAAGUCCACUGUACUUGAAACUUCUUCUAGACGAAGCAAGGAAAUGGAAAUCGUACACUCCUCAAGCUGAAGUUGAACUAGUGUCAACUGUAAAAGAAGCAAUCAACAAACUGUUCAAAAUCUUGCAAAAAGAUUUGGUACUCUACUGGUCACUCACGCACUUGGUUAUUUAACAGUAGGUUUGACAGGACUUACGGAAUUUGAGAUUGACGAUGCAUUAUCGUGUGAUGACGACGUUCUAAAUGAAGUGUACAAAUUUCAUGAUCCACCAGUUCCAGGAAUCGUCCAAAUACCGCCAUUGCUAUGGGCAAGAAUAUGGUAUGAUAUUCGUGGAUAUCUUGUUGAGAGAAUGUC